rnacentral:rRNA from 1 species
GACGAACGCUGGCGGCGUGCUUAACACAUGCAAGUGGAGCGACGAACCAGGCUUCGGCCUGGGGCAAAGCCGCGAACGGGUGAGUAACACGUGGGUAACCUGCCCCGAAGAUCGGGACAACCCGGGGAAACCCGGGCUAAUACCGAAUGUGCUCCCGCCACAUCAGUGGCAGGUACAAAGGAAGCUUCGGCCUCCGCUUCGGGAGGGGCCCGCGGCCCAUUAGCUUGUUGGUGAGGUAACGGCUCACCAAGGCNCCGAUGGGUAGCUGGUCUGAGAGGACGAUCAGCCACACUGGGACUGAGACACGGCCCAGACUCCUACGGGAGGCAGCAGUGGGGAAUCUUGCGCAAUGCGCGAAAGCGUGACGCAGCAACGCCGCGU